rnacentral:rRNA from 1 species
UACAUGCUAAAAACCGCGACUUCGGAAGCGGUGUAUUUAUUAGAUAAAAAACCAAUGCCCUUCGGGGCUCCUUGGUGAUUCAUGAUAACUUAACGAAUCGCAUGGCCUUGCGCCGGCGAUGGUUCAUUCAAAUUUCUGCCCUAUCAACUUUCGAUGGUAGGAUAGUGGCCUACCAUGGUAUCAACGGGUAACGGGGAAUUAGGGUUCUAUUCCGGAGAGGGAGCCUGAGAAACGGCUACCACAUCCAAGGAAGGCAGCAGGCGCGCAAAUUACCCAAUCCCGACACGGGGAGGUAGUGACAAUAAAUACUGAUACAGGGCUCUUUUGGGUCUUGUAAUUGGAAUGAGUACAAUUUAAAUACCUUAACGAGGAACAAUUGGAGGGCAAGUCUGGUGCCAGCAGCCGCGGUAAUUCCAGCUCCAAUAGCGUAUAUUAAAGUUGUUGCAGUUAAAAAGCUCGUAGUUGAACCUUGGGCCUGGCUGGCCGGUCCGCCUCACCGCGUGUACUGGUCCGGCCGGGCCUUUCCUUCUGGGGAUCCGCAUGCCCUUCACUGGGUGUGUCGGGGAACCAGGACUUUUACUUUGAAAAAAUUAGAGUGUUCAAAGCAGGCCUUUGCUCGAAUACAUUAGCAUGGAAUAAUAGAAUAGGACGUGCGGUCCUAUUUUGUUGGUUUCUAGGACCGCCGUAAUGAUUAAUAGGGAUAGUCGGGGGCAUCAGUAUUCAAUUGUCAGAGGUGAAAUUCUUGGAUUUAUUGAAGACUAACUACUGCGAAAGCAUUUGCCAAGGAUGUUUUCAUUAAUCAGUGAACGAAAGUUAGGGGAUCGAAGACGAUCAGAUACCGUCGUAGUCUUAACCGUAAACUAUGCCGACUAGGGAUCGGGCGAUGUUAUUCUUUUGACUCGCUCGGCACCUUACGAGAAAUCAAAGUCUUUGGGUCUGGGGGGGAGUAUGGUCGCAAGGCUGAAACUUAAAGGAAUUGACGGAAGA